rnacentral:rRNA from 1 species
UACAGAGGGUGCGAGCGUUAAUCGGAAUUACUGGGCGUAAAGGGUGCGUAGGUGGUCUGAUAAGUUAAAUGUGAAAGCCCCGGGCUUAACCUGGGAAUGGCGUUUAAAACUGCCAGACUAGAGUAUUGUAGAGGAAAGUGGAAUUACCGGUGUAGCGGUGAAAUGCGUAGAUAUCGGUAGGAACACCAGUGGCGAAGGCGACUUUCUGGACAAUAACUGACACUGAGGCACGAAAGCAUGGGGAGCAAACAGG